UUAGAUAAAUAAGAAAUUAAAGUUAUUUUACAAAAGUUUCGUAAAAACAUCGAUUUUCAAAAUUUGGAAAAUGUUCCUCGGGCUCUUCGUAAAAUGUGCAAACUUGUCAAUUAUGGAAUUAUAAAUUAUCAUUUUACUAACCUGUUAAUGGCGUUUACUCACUACAUAAUAUGUAUAAUUAUUAAAAAAAAAAAAGAAAAAACAGAAGUAAUAAAGAUUCCAAAAAGAAAAAUAGAUAUUUCGAUUAGAUAAAUAAGAAAUUAAAGUUAUUUUACAAAAGUUUCGUAAAAACAUCGAUUUUCAAAAUUUGGAAAUUCAUGGUUAAAGUAACAUAAAUCUUGUAACAUUAAAAAUUAUAAAAAGAAAAAACCUUAAAGAAACUGAAGAAAAGUAAAUUGUAUGUAUUUAAUAUGGUAUAUUUGAUUUCAGAUUAUAAUAUCCCAGAGAUGCUUUAACGGAGUAUUUUGUUUUUCGUAGUCAGCAGAAAACCGCGGGAAUUUUGAAACGGCACAUAUUUCGAACGUGUCACCCGUUGUACAUGCAAUCGACUCACACCUUCGUGCAAUCACCAACGGACGACCAUCUUAUUACGGGUGCGCGGUACGAACAUGGGUAGCAAAGUGUAAACCACCAUUAUUAUUAACGAAACGUGUAAUAAGAGACAUUCCGCGUCAGCCCGAGAAAGAAUACUGAAACACAAUGGAGGAUAUUGCAGACGCCGGCUGGAAUAACAUUUUUCGAGGAGUUAGGCGUAAACAGCAAUUAGAUCCGGUUGUUGCUGCUUUUCAAGAAUAAUCCACCGUGGAUGGUCGAUUGUUCUCGUCGAUUCGAUUUCAAUGGAGCUAAACGGCGAAAUCACGAGGCAAAACGAAAAGGUUAGUAUCACGCAAAAGCUGCGAUGGUAAACCAACGGAGCGUGAAAUGUAUCGAGAGUUUACAUUGUCACAUAGUGCUAAUUUGCAGGAAACUAAUUAAAUACAAAUUUAACACUUCAAAGAGAGAUAGGAAAACAGGUUAAUUGGUUAUAUCGUUCUUCGUUAAGCAGAAUCGAAGAUGAGGUUUUGUUUUAGCAAUUCCCAGGGAUCUUCCUGCGGUGGGAUCGGGCGGUGGAGAAAAAGGAACAGCGGGAGAGGCAGGACUACAAUGUUUAGACCACGAUCAACGCGCCAAUAUUUUAAACACGGCCCCCCUUAACUUCGCAGGUUCUUCUUUUCCCAUAUGCACUCCUAAUCACGAGUCGCAUCGGCAGAUAUAGCGUGUACCACGAUGCACCCCGUUAAAUCUCGAGAGGAGAUCAAGGGAGAGAGCGAGGGAGAGACAUUGAAAAGGGAGGAAGGAUGGAAAAACGAGGUGGAGGAGAAGGAAGAAGAGAGAAGGAAAUGAGAUAGAACGGGAAGAGCCCGGGGUUGCAAGCGACAAGAUAGAAGGAGAGAGAGGACAUUGUGGCUCGAGGAGGAACGUUGUGAAGCAACGUAAGAGGGAGGAGGUGGCGGUGGCGGUCGCAUCGGAGGAGGUGGCGGAGGAGGAGGAGACGGUGGAGGAGCAGAACAGAAGGAGAAGGGGAGAGCGACAUUCCAGAAGGCGGCGGCGGCGGUGGUUCUCGUGGGAAACCAAAGAGAGAGAGAGGAGAGAGAUCUCGUCUCGAGGAGAGGUUGCGAGCCUUAAGGCACCGUUCUCAUCUCCCGACAAGCGCGACAAGACCGACACAGACUCUCCUUGCCUCGGAUGCCGCCGACAAUCGUCGAAUUUAUGAUUUCAUAGAGACACCUGGGCUCGUCCUGGUAACGUACAUACAAAAUCUUCUCAUCCGCUUAACGACGAACCUAAAUGUACAGAACUGAAAUCUUUGUACAAAUACAAAUCUGCGUACUCGUGUAUAUACAAGCGUGUGUGCAUAUGUAUAUAUGUAUAUGUGUGUGUGUAUGUAUGUAUGUAUAUACAGGUUUCGAAAGGGGUGUCUGGUCAAAGACUGACAAGAAAGUCGAUGGUAAUAGAAUUUCAAGCAUUCGCUCCAGGGGAUUUAUCGUUCCAUUAACUGAAACGCCCUGUAAAGGAAAUUGGAUACAGCAUUAUUCAGUGUUUCGAGCCGCGCGAACAUUUAUGAGUGCAUUUGAUAUACUAGCAGUAACAAGCGAUAGCUGCGCCCUCGCGUGCGUCCAUUCUCUUUUGUUUAUUAAGCCAGGAUCGACUACUGCGUUAUUCCUCUCCGAUAAAACGGCGUCGAUGCACCGGAUUGGUCGGCGUAACGUGAUUCCGCUGCAGAAUGAAGAAAAGGUGAUUACGAUAAAGAGCCCCUUGGAUCUCGAUCGCGUUACACGCAAGAAUGAACACGGUCGAUGGACCGUGAUUGUGUCAAACGUGUUAAAACACGUGUUGUAUGUUUCAUAGAAUAAUUUAUUUGAAAUAAGUUGUAAAUUUCUUUUGUACAAAGCGGUCCCUUUGUAAGGAUGAGGUGUUAUUUAAAUGAGUUCGAUUCGGAAGAUCGUUUCAACUUGUAUGUCGUAUAAGUUUCGAGCGAGAAAGCUCUAACAAGAUGUUACAGAGGCUCUGUGAAUCAGCCCUUAGGGUGAAUCUUCACGAAGCGCGGGACAAGUGAUUUCAAGCCAAACGAACACAGGAGAAGAUGAUGUUAAGCCCACGAAGUUUUGGUUCAUCGCGAGAAUGAUCGAAGCUCGGACUGUCCUCCGAUGUAACUUUCCCACAGGAUCUUGUUCGCUGAAAUUUAAUUCCUUUUUUAUAAUAACCCUUUCGUAUUUCCACCUUUAUGAUCCAUUCCAUAAUUUUCAGUGAUAUCUUCUCUGCCGUACUUUCCAACACCAUUUUUACAAAAAGGAAGAAUGUGAUCAGAUCAUGAAAAGGA